GUACUCGUUAUGGUGGUACAUAUACUAAAACUGGAACUACACAGAGAAGAUUAGUAAAGCUCCUGAACAAAGUUGACAAAACCUAAGGAAAACAAAGUUGUA